UACGGGGGGGGCGAGCGUUGUUCGGAAUUACUGGGCGUAAAGGGCGCGUAGGCGGUCUGCUAAGUUGGAUGUGAAAACUCUGGGCUUAACCCAGAGCCUGCAUUCAAUACUGACAGGCUAGAGUUCUGGAGGGGAUAGCGGAAUUCCUGGUGUAGCGGUGAAAUGCGUAGAUAUCAGGAAGAACACCCGUGGCGAAGGCGGCUCUCUGGGACGGUACUGGACGCUGAGACGCGAAAGCGUGGGGAGCGAACAGG
rnacentral:rRNA from 1 species